rnacentral:lncRNA from 1 species
UGGUUUUGAGUUUUCAACAUUUAAGGCUUUAAAGAUGGUGGAGUUUCUUCAGAUUUUUGAAUAGACUUUAUUGGUUAUGUCGAGGAAUGGUCUCCACGGGAAGAUACAACAACACGACAUGGAAAAGCAUCUUAUAAGAUGAACUUAAUAUUGAGAGAUCAAAGUUUGAUUCAAAAUCCUAUACUGUAGAUGAUGCAACACCGCUAUCCAGGAAUAAUGAAAGUAGAAAGAGUACUGGUGAUCUGAAACGCACACCGGAAGGUUCUUAUGAUGUAGACAAUUCAUAUUCAUUUUCUCCAUCAAAAAGUCGAAAAACCGAAACCAAAGAUGAAACCAAGACUCAAUCCAAAGACAAACUUUUGAUUCCUAAACUUGAAAAGUAGUUUUAUUACUUUCAAGCUGCAAAAGAUUUUGUUCUUUUUUUCCUUGUGUUCUUGUGAUUUUAUUUUCAAACAAAAGUAGUUGUUGGUUUUUUAUGAUCUGAUGACUAUAUUUUAUU